rnacentral:pre_miRNA from 1 species
UUAGCUCAUAUUUGUAUGGAACGGGAUCGUUUGCGUACGUUUGCCGCUAGGGGCGCUGUUCCAACUGCAUACAAAAUUGAGUUA